rnacentral:rRNA from 1 species
GGAAAUCUCACCAGGCCCGGACAAUGGAAGGAUUGACACCUCUUUCUUGAUUCGUGGGGUGGUGGUGCAUGGCCGUUCUUAGUUGGUGGAGUGAUUUGUCUGGUUAAUUCCGUUAACGAACGAGACCUUAACCUACUAAAUAGUUUGCAAUCUCACCGAUUGCAAUUCUUCUUAGAGGGACUAUAUGUGUUAAGCAUAUGGAAGUUUGAGGCAAUAA